UCUGUGGCCAUAUCACCCUAAACACACCAGAUCUCAUCUGAUCUCGGAAGCUAAGCAGGGUCAGAUCCGGUUAGUACUUGGGUGGGAGAAUUAUAAGGCUAGGUGUAUGAAUCUCCGAGGAAGAUUGCCUGCCAGGU
rnacentral:rRNA from 1 species